GCUCGACCCUGGCCACGGGCGCCUGCGGCUUGGCGGGCUGCACCUGUGCCUGAGGCUGGGUCUGCGGCGACGGUUCAAUCGGCUGGCUGGGCG
rnacentral:tRNA from 1 species